rnacentral:rRNA from 1 species
CCUACGGGUGGCAGCAGUGGGGAAUCUUGCGCAAUGGGCGAAAGCCUGACGCAGCAACGCCGCGUGCGGGAUGAAGGCCUUCGGGUUGUAAACCGCUUUUACCAGGAAGGAAAAUGACAGUACCUGGAGAAUAAGGUGCGGCCAACUACGUGCCAGCAGCCGCGGUGACACGUAGGCACCAAGCGUUGUCCGGAUUUAUUGGGCGUAAAGAGCUCGUAGGCGGUUCAGUAAGUCGGGUGUGAAAACUCUGGGCUUAACCCAGAGACGCCACCCGAUACUGCUGUGACUUGAGUCCGGUAGGGGAGUGGGGAAUUCCUGGUGUAGCGGUGAAAUGCGCAGAUAUCAGGAGGAACACCAAUGGCGAAGGCACCACUCUGGGCCGAGACUGACGCUGAGGAGCGAAAGCGUGGGUAGCAAACAGGAUUAGAUACCCUAGUAGUC